AAAUAGGUAAGCUAAACCCCAAGCUAGUGGGUUCAUACCCCAUUUAUAGGAAAUAUCCUCCUCUUUA
rnacentral:tRNA from 1 species